AUUAUUCAAAAAAAUGCUGCAUGUGGUAUAUAUAUAUAUAUAGUCACUUCACUUUCACUAUAUACAGGUUCUAAAAGCUUUGAUUAAUAAUUCAAGAAUAUAUCGAGCGUAUCUCAUAGAACACCUUUUUGAUAGAAAUUAGAGAUAAAAUAUUAUUUUUUUAUUUUUUGUUAUUUUUUUAAUGAUAAAAAUAUCGUGUUAAGUUAUUUGAGAAUAAUUUUAUACAUUAGAACUUAAUAAAGACUAAGUAAAUUAUUUAAUCUUUGUAUCAUAACCAAUCGAACGACUAACUUCAAGAUCCAGCAGUAUCACGAGAAAAAAGUAAUAAUUACCGAGGACAAUCGUCACUAAGAAAAAGAUUAUCAUCGACUUUUGGAACGUAUUCCGAAGGAAUCGGUUGCCAUUCCAAUUGAGGAUUCCAUAUUUGAAUACCUUUAGGUGGAAAGAGUCCUGCGAGAACGAGUUGUAACGAUGCUUUCGUUCUAUCGUAAUCCGAACUUCGAGCUUUGACUAUACUUGGUGUGUAUAUCUUACCAAAAUAGUUAUCAUAUCUUUUUCUAAGAAAUUCUCCUAAUUUAAAUUCCCGCACUAUACCAUUCUAAAAAUUACGUAAUCGAUUAUGAUAUAAACGCUUUUGUGAGAGAAAAAUAAAAAUAAUUAACAGUAUAAUCGUUACAAAGUAAUUAAGAAGGAACGAAACUAACAUACAUUUGUUAAUUGUCCUCUACCCAUCGGAUAGAAGUCAUAAUUUAUAUAGGGAUCGUUCGGAUAUCUUUCCAGCUUAUUAUCAUCAGGCGUUCGAUCUCCAUGCCUAAAUAUCUAUUAUGUAUAAGUUAUAUAAAUUUGAAUCAGUUAUAAAUAAAUGAAUAUAUAUGUAUGCGCGUCUGUGUGAUUGAAAUCAGUAAAUUCAAAAAAAAUACAAGAAAUAUUCUUCUUACCACAUUCAAUAAUUUUAAUUCCAAAUUUUGUUCUUCCUCUGCAUACGCGAAUGUUAGACUUAUACAAAUAAGUAAAACAAUCGAAUAUGUAUAUAGGUAUUGAUUUGAGAUCAUUUUGUUAAACUGAAACAAAAAACAAAUCUAUGAUAAUUAUAAUCAAAAAAUUUUUUCGUAUUGUUUGUGACAUGUUAAACAUAAAAAAGGAACAAUUAUUUUCAUUAUGACAAUUGAAGAACAAAAUAAAAAUUACAAUAAUAUGAA